rnacentral:misc_RNA from 1 species
CUGAUUGCUUAUUGCACCACAUGUGUUUUUUAUUGAACAAAUUUCUUUGGUGGCGGGAGCAAUCCUACCGCCAGAGGUUAUAACUAAACCAAACUUUUUAUUUACAGUCAAACUUGAUUUAUUAUUACAAUAGUCAAAACUUUCAACAACGGAUCUCUUGGUUCUCGCAUCGAUGAAGAACGCAGCGAAAUGCGAUACGUAAUAUGAAUUGCAGAUAUUCGUGAAUCAUCGAAUCUUUGAACGCACAUUGCGCCCUUUGGUAUUCCAAAGGGCAUGCCUGUUUGAGCGUCAUUUCUCCCUCAAACCCCCGGGUUUGGUGUUGAGCAAUACGCUAGGUUUGUUUGAAAGAAUUUACGUGGAAACUUAUUUUAAGCGACUUAGGUUUAUCCAAAACGCUUAUUUUGCUAGUGGCCACCACAAUUUAUUUCAUAACUUUGACCUCAAAUCAGGUAGGACUACCCGCUGAACUUAAGCAUAUCAAAGCGGGAGGGGAAAAGGA